GAUGAACGCUGGCGGCGUGCCUAAUACAUGCAAGUCGAGCGAACGGACGAGAAGCUUGCUUCUCUGAUGUUAGCGGCGGACGGGUGAGUAACACGUGGAUAACCAACCUAUAAGACUGGGAUAACUUCGGGAAACCGUAGCUAAUACCGGAUAAUAUUUUGAACCGCAUGGUUCAAAAGUGAAAGACGGUCUUGCCGUCACUUAUAGAUGGAUCCGCGCUGCAUUAGCUAGUUGGUAAGGUAACGGCUUACCAAGGCAACGAUGCAUAGCCGACCUGAGAGGGUGAUCGGCCACACUGGAACUGAGACACGGUCCAGACUCCUACGGGAGGCAGCAGUAGGGAAUCUUCCGCAAUGGGCGAAAGCCUGACGGAGCAACGCCGCGUGAGUGAUGAAGGUCUUCGGAUCGUAAAACUCUGUUAUUAGGGAAGAACAAAUGUGUAAGUAACUGUGCACAUCUUGACGGUACCUAAUCAGAAAGCCACGGCUAACUACGUG
rnacentral:rRNA from 1 species